rnacentral:lncRNA from 1 species
UGUCUGGUUCCACUUACCGUCCCUAUCCGGAAUGCUCAUAUUCAUAAGGCAGAGAUGAGCCCCAACUCAAGACGCCGUACAGAAGUUGCAGUGGUUAACAUUGAAAUCGGAACUGUGUAAAGUGCAAAGAGUGAGCGUCAGUGGAGUGAGUGCCCAGGCACAGAUUGGUCCUCUCUACAGCACACACUCCCACCAGGCUUUGGGACCAUAGCACACAGUGGAAGAGCGAAGGGAAAGAUUGUAAGCCAGAUGUCGAG